rnacentral:tRNA from 1 species
UAUAUUUUAGUAGUAUGAUGCACAAAAGUUUUUGAUACUUUUAGGAAUAGUUUGAAUCUAUUAAAUAUAA